rnacentral:rRNA from 1 species
UGAAUGGAAGGGCCAUCGCUCAACGGAUAAAAGGUACUCCGGGGAUAACAGGCUGAUACCGCCCAAGAGUUCAUAUCGACGGCGGUGUUUGGCACCUCGAUGUCGGCUCAUCACAUCCUGGGGCUGAAGUAGGUCCCAAGGGUAUGGCUGUUCGCCAUUUAAAGUGGUACGCGAGCUGGGUUUAGAACGUCGUGAGACAGUUCGGUCCCUAUCUGCCGUGGGCGCUGGAGAACUGAGGGGGGCUGCUCCUAGUACGAGAGGACCGGAGUGGACGCAUCACUGGUGUUCGGGUUGUCAUGCCAAUGGCACUGCCCGGUAGCUAAAUGCGGAAGAGAUAAGUGCUGAAAGCAUCUAAGCACGAAACUUGCCCCGAGAUGAGUUCUCCCUGACUCCUUGAGAGUCCUGAAGGAACGUUGAAGACGACGACGUUGAUAGGCCGGGUGUGUAAGCGCAGCGAUGCGUUGAGCUAACCGGUACUAAUGAACCGUGAGGC